ACGGCCAUACCAUGCUGAAUAUAUACGUUCUCGUUCGAUCACCGCAGUCAAACAUCAUCAGUACUUGGGAUUGUGACCACCUGGGAACACCGCGUGCCGUUA